rnacentral:rRNA from 1 species
UACGGGGGGGGCAAGCGUUGUUCGGAAUUACUGGGCGUAAAGGGCUCGUAGGCGGCCAACUAAGUCGGAUGUGAAAUCCCCAGGCUCAACCUGGGAACUGCAUCCGAUACUGGAUGGCUUGAAUCCGGGAGAGGGAUGCAGAAUUCCAGGUGUAGCGGUGAAAUGCGUAGAUAUCUGGAGGAACACCGGUGGCGAAGGCGGCUCUCUGGACGGUGACUGACGCUGAGACGCGAAAGCGUGGGGAGCAAACAGG